GAAUUCCUGGUGUAGCGGUGGAAUGCGCAGAUAUCAGGAGGAACACCGAUGGCGAAGGCAGAUCUCUGGGCCGUAACUGACGCUGAGGAGCGAAAGGGUGGGGAGCAAACAGGCUUAGAUACCCUGGUAGUCCACCCCGUAAACGUUGGGAACUAGUUGUGGGGUCCAUUCCACGGAUUCCGUGACGCAGCUAACGCAUUAAGUUCCCCGCCUGGGGAGUACGGCCGCAAGGCUAAAACUCAAAGGAAUUGACGGGGACCCGCACAAGCGGCGGAGCAUGCGGAUUAAUUCGAUGCAACGCGAAGAACCUUACCAAGGCUUGACAUAUACGAGAACGGGCCAGAAAUGGUCAACUCUUUGGACACUCGUAAACAGGUGGUGCAUGGUUGUCGUCAGCUCGUGUCGUGAGAUGUUGGGUUAAGUCCCGCAACGAGCGCAACCCUCGUUCUAUGUUGCCAGCACGUAAUGGUGGGAACUCAUGGGAUACUGCCGGGGUCAACUCGGAGGAAGGUGGGGAUGACGUCAAAUCAUCAUGCCCCUUAUGUCUUGGGCUUCAC
rnacentral:rRNA from 1 species